ACUCCUACGGGAGGCAGCAGUGGGGAAUAUUGGACAAUGGGCGCAAGCCUGAUCCAGCCAUGCCGCGUGUGUGAAGAAGGCCCUCGGGUUGUAAAGCACUUUCAGUGAGGAAGAAAGCUUGUCGGUUAAUACCCGGCAAGGACGACAUCACUCACAGAAGAAGCACCGGCUAACUCCGUGCCAGCAGCCGCGGUAAUACGGAGGAUCCAAGCGUUAUCCGGAAUCAUUGGGUUUAAAGGGUCCGUAGGUGGACGAUUAAGUCAGAGGUGAAAUCUUGCAGCUCAACUGUAAAAUUGCCUUUGAUACUGGUUGUCUUGAGUUAUUAUGAAGUGGUUAGAAUAUGUAGUGUAGCGGUGAAAUGCAUAGAUAUUACAUAGAAUACCAAUUGCGAAGGCAGAUCACUAAUAAUAUACUGACACUGAUGGACGAAAGCGUGGUAGCGAACAGGAUUAGAUACCCUGGUAGGCUCUG
rnacentral:rRNA from 1 species